GGUGAUAUAGUAUAGUGGUUAGUACGGCGCGUUGUGGGGUCUGCAGUUUUCUGCCCGCAACGCCGCGCAGACGAGGGUUCGAUUCCCUCUAUCGCCA